GACAAUGGGGGCAACCCUGAUCCAGCCAUGCCGCGUGUGUGAAGAAGGCUUUCGGGUUGUAAAGCACUUUCAGUGAGGAGGAAAACUCUGCGACUAAUACUCGUAGGGCUUGACGUUACUCACAGAAGAAGCACCGGCUAACUCCGUGCCAGCAGCCGCGGUAAUACGGAGGGUGCAAGCGUUAAUCGGAAUUACUGGGCGUAAAGCGCGCGUAGGUGGUUUGAUAAGCGAGAUGUGAAAGCCCCGGGCUUAACCUGGGAACGGCAUUUCGAACUGUCAGGCUAGAGUAUGGUAGAGGGUAGUGGAAUUUCCUGUGUAGCGGUGAAAUGCGUAGAUAUAGGAAGGAACACCAGUGGCGAAGGCGGCUACCUGGACCAAUACUGACACUGAGGUGCGAAAGCGU
rnacentral:rRNA from 1 species